AGCUUUGCACAGUAGCAGUAUCGUAGCCAAUGAGGUUAAUCCGAGGCGCGAUUAUUGCUAAUUGCAG
rfam:Anolis carolinensis unplaced genomic scaffold chrTn0462, whole genome shotgun sequence.